rnacentral:rRNA from 1 species
AUGAAGCACAUUGUAAGGCAGAAUAGAUCGGGAGUUCCGCCGCCAGAAGCGUCCGUAGCCACCAAAAGUCAAUCGGAACCCUGUUCCGGCACCCUGCCGGAGGGGGGAACCCUCACCGGUGGCCAUCUUCAUCAUCCCGGCGCUCUCCAUGAUGAGGAGGGAGUAGUUCUCCCUCGGGGAAUAGCCCAACGGAUUGAUUGGAAAGAAUAA